AUCGCUUCUCGGCCUUUUGGCUAAGAUCAAGUGUAGUAUCUGUUCUUAUCAGUUUAAUAAGCACGAAUGAGGCGCGUGCUGUAUGCAGCGACCUGUGUUGGGCUAGGGAGACCAUAC
rnacentral:snRNA from 1 species